rnacentral:rRNA from 1 species
AUUGAACGCUUGCGGCAGGCCUAACACAUGCAAGUCGAGCGAGCGGCGGACGGGUGAGUAAUGUAUGGGGACUGCCCGAUAGAGGGGGAUAACUACUGGAAACGGUAGCUAAUACCGCAUACUAUCGGAUAACCCAUAUGGGAUUAGCUAGUAGGUGAGGUAAUGGCUAACCUAGACGACGAUCCCUAGCUUGUCUUAGAGGAUGAUCAGCCACACUGGGACUGAGACACGACCCAGAUUCCUGCGGAGGCAGCAGUGGGGAAUAUUGCACAAUGGGCGGAAACCUGAUGCAGCCAUGCCGGGUGUAUGAAGAAGGCCCUAGGGUUGUAAAGUACUUUCAGUCGAGAGGCGUUACCGACAGAAGAGGCACCGGCUAACUCCGUGCCAGAGGCCGCGGUAAUAC